CCUACGGGAGGCUGCAGUGGGGAAUAUUGCACAAUGGGGGAAACCCUGAUGCAGCGACGCCGCGUGAGUGAAGAAGUAUUUCGGUACGUAAAGCUCUAUCAGCAGGGAAGAAAAUGACGGUACCUGACUAAGAAGCCCCGGCUAACUACGUGCCAGCAGCCGCGGUAAUACGUAGGGGGCAAGCGUUAUCCGGAUUUACUGGGUGUAAAGGGAGCGUAGACGGCAGCGCAAGUCUGGAGUGAAAUCCCAUGGCUUAACCAUGGAACUGCUUUGGAAACUGUGCAGCUAGAGUGCAGGAGAGGUAAGCGGAAUGCCUAGUGUAGCGGUGAAAUGCGUAGAUAUUAGGAGGAACACCAGUGGCGAAGGCGGCUUACUGGACUGUAACUGACGUUGAGGCUCGAAAGCGUGGGGAGCAAACAGGAUUAGAUACCCCAGUAGUC
rnacentral:rRNA from 1 species